rnacentral:rRNA from 1 species
AGGAUGAACGCUAGCGGGAGGCUUAACACAUGCAAGUCGAGGGGCAGCAUUACCUUCGGGUAGAUGGCGACCGGCGCACGGGUGCGUAACGCGUAUGCAACCUGGCUUAUGCAGGGGGAUAGCCCAUGGAAACGUGGAUUAAUACCCCAUAGUAUUAUGGAUCUGCAUGGAUUUAUAAUUAAAACUUCGGUGGCAUAAGAUGGGCAUGCGUCUGAUUAGCUAGUUGGUGGGGUAACUGCCCACCAAGGCGACGAUCAGUAGGGGUUCUGAGAGGAUUAUCCCCCACACUGGUACUGAGACACGGACCAGACUCCUACGGGAGGCAGCAGUGAGGAAUAUUGGUCAAUGGCCGAAAGGCUGAACCAGCCAUCCCGCGUGCAGGAUGACGGCCCUAUGGGUUGUAAACUGCUUUUCUAUGCCAAGAAACCCUGUUACGUGUAACAGGUUGCCGGUAGCAUAGGAAUAAGCAUCGGCUAACUCCGUGCCAGCAGCCGCGGUAAUACGGAGGAUGCAAGCGUUAUCCGGAUUCAUUGGGUUUAAAGGGUGCGCAGGUUGGGAAGUAAGUCAGUGGUGAAAUCCUGCCGCUUAACGGUAGAAUUGCCAUUGAUACUGCUUUUCUUGAGUAUGGUUGAGGUAGGCGGAAUGUGCAGUGUAGCGGUGAAAUGCAUAGAUAUUGCACAGAACUCCGAUUGCGAAGGCAGCUUACUAAGCCAUAACUGACGCUGAGGCACGAAAGCGUGGGGAGCGAACAGGAUUAGAUACCCUGGUAGUCCACGCUGUAAACGAUGUUCACUCGCUGU